UCAGAAUCUCAAUAGAAAAGGCGAACACGAAAGAAUCUUCAUAGCUUUCUUUCAAACUAUUUUCUUGUACAUUGAUCUUAUCUCUAUUAACCAACAAAACUUCUUCCUUUUGUUGUUCUCAUAUAACACAACAACAAAUACUACUAUAAAAACAUACAACCCAUUAAACAAUUAUACUAAUAUUUUUCAUGUUAUAUAUAAAUGAUUAAACAUAUCCUUACUUCUAAUAAAUCCCUCUCAAAUCUCUUUGUAAAUCCAACAGAAAAAACUAACUCCAUGUCUACGUUUCCAAGUUAUUAUUACACUUUUGUUCUAUUCAUUCUCCUCCUUUCUCUUCCUUCUUUUCCCGCCAGAAUCCUAAAACACGACCCUUUAACUGAAUUAACCGCCGAUAUUCAAAACAACACGUGGCACGCUUUCGUUAAAUUCCUCGACGCCGGAAAAGGCAGUGAACUUACCGGCAUGUCGGAGCUCAAAAAAUACUUCCAACGGUUUGGCUAUUUGUCUAAUAUUCCCGAUCAAAAUUUCACUGAUUUUUUCGACGAAGAUUUAGAGUCUGCAGUAAUCAAUUACCAAAAAAACCUCGGAUUAACAGUCAACGGAAAAUUAGACGACGAAACGAUGAACGAAAUUAUGUUACCUCGUUGUGGGAUGAGUGAUUCAGCUCAUGAACGUGAUCACAGCUCGUUACAUACAACGAGAAACUACGCGUAUUUUUACGGGAGACCUAGGUGGAUGAAAUCAUCGCCGAUGAUUUUAUCCUACGCUUUCUCUGAAAAUUAC
rnacentral:lncRNA from 1 species